AUUGAACGCUGGCGGCAGGCCUAACACAUGCAAGUCGAGCGGAUGAAGGGUGCUUGCUCCUGGAUUCAGCGGCGGACGGGUGUGUAAUGCCUAGGUAUCUGCCUGGUAGUGGGGGAUAACGUCCGGAAACGGGCGCUAAUACCGCAUACGUCCUUAGGGAGAAAGUGGGGGAUCUUCGGACCUCACGCUAUCAGAUGUGCCUAGGUCGGAUUAGCUAGUUGGUGGGGUAAAGGCCUACCAAGGCGACGAUCCGUAACUGGUCUGAGAGGAUGAUCAGUCACAAUGGAACUGAGAAAAGGUCCAGACUACUACGGGAGGCAGCAGUGGGGAAGAUUGGACAAUGGGCGAAAGCCUGAUCCAGGAAAGCCGCGUGUGUGAAGAAGGUCUUCGGAUUGGAAAGCACUUUAAGUUGGGAGGAAGGGAAGUAAGUUAAUACCUUGCUGUUUUGACGUUACCAACAGAAUAAGCACCGGCUAACUUCGUG
rnacentral:rRNA from 1 species